UGCAGAUCUAAGAAAAGAAAUAAUCUUACAGGAGGUAAAAACCCAUCCUUUAAACUUUGCAAAUAAAAUUAAUCAACCAUAUUUUUUGCAAUUUGAUAGCAAUCUAAUUAAUUUUCAUUUCUAUACAGUGCAAGGUGAAAAAGUCUGGGAUGAGCAUGACAGUGAAAGUGACUAUGAGGAGUUUAACGAAGAAGCAGCAGAUGGAAACUACAUUGUUCCUCUUACUGAGCCGCUCACAGCAGAUAAUCUGCAUAAAGCCAAAGCAAGAGAAGAUCACAGGCUUCAUCCAGUCUUUUCACUGCCUGACCCCCAGAGGGUGUCUAAAGUUCACAGUCUUCCCACAGCUCACUCAUCUAAUUUUCAACGGGCCGCAAAUAAGAAGCCAGAAAAACCUCCGGUUCCCCAGAGAGCCUUUACACGCUUAGCAGGGGGCAGUGUUGCUUUGGAUACCGGCACACUUACCAGAAGGCGCCCGCUACCAACAGUCCCGCAGCAACAUGUGUCUAACAGGGCAAAUAAUAUAACUCCCCAUGUUCCUGUACCAACAUCACACGUUCUGUCAAACCAACCAACAAGAACAACAGGACAUGUCAAUAAGCAA